GACGAACGCUGGCGGCGUGCUUAACACAUGCAAGUCGAGCGGUAAGGCCCUUUCGGGGGUACACGAGCGGCGAACGGGUGAGUAACACGUGGGUGACCUGCCCUCAGCUCUGGGAUAAGCCUGGGAAACCGGGUCUAAUACUGGAUAUGACUCCAUGACGCAUGUUGUGGGGUGGAAAGCCUUGUGCGGCUGAGGAUGGGCCCGCGGCCUAUCAGCUUGUUGGUGGGGUGAGGCCUACCAAGGCGACGACGGGUAGCCGGCCUGAGAGGGCGACCGGCCAUACUGGGACUGAGACACGGCCCAGACUCCUACGGGAGGCAGCAGUGGGGAAUCUUGCGCAAUGGGCGAAAGCCUGACGCAGCGACGCCGCGUGAGGGAUGACGGCCU
rnacentral:rRNA from 1 species